GUAGUACUCCCUCCGUUCGGAAUUACUUGUCACAAAAAAGGAUGUAUCUACAACUAAAAUACAUCUAGAUACAUUCAUUUCUUGGACGAGUAAUUCCGAACAGAGGGAGUAUGUA
rnacentral:pre_miRNA from 1 species